rnacentral:rRNA from 1 species
CCUACGGGGGGCUGCAGUAACGAAUCUUCCGCAAUGUACGCAAGUAUGACGGAGCGACGCCGCGUGUAGGAUGAAGCCCUUCGGGGUGUAAACUACUGUCAGGGGUUAGAUCGACCCCAGAGGAAGGCACGGCUAACUCUGUGCCAGCAGCCGCGGUAAGACAGAGGUGCCAAGCGUUAGGCGGAAUCACUGGGCUUAAAGCGUGUGUAGGUGGAUUUCUAAGUACCUUGUGAAAUCCCACGGCUCAACCGUGGAACUGCUUGGUAUACUGGUUAUCUUGAGGCAACUAGGGGCUACCGGAACAAAUGGUGGAGCGGUGAAAUGCGUAGAUAUCAUUUGGAACGCCAAUGGUGAAAACAGGUAGCUGGGUGUCCUGACACUGAGACACGAAAGCCAGGGGAGCAAACGGGAUUAGAUACCCUUGUAGUC